UUGCCCAAUGAUUAUAGCAAGACGCGUUAUUAUGAGGACUAAUGCUGGAACUCUUUCUCCUCCUCCUCAUUCUCUUCCUUCUUUGUCCCUUCCUCUUUCACCUUUUACCCCUCCUUGCUUUCCUUAGGGUAUCCAGCGUCCUAUGAGCAAGACUGAGAUAUGAGGGCAA
ensembl:snoRNA small nucleolar RNA, C/D box 97